rnacentral:tRNA from 1 species
GCGCCUCUGGCGGCAGCUGGUUCACGGGCGUCUCGAAAAUACUGUCGGGCUCGGCCACGUGCUGGUUCAAGUCCAGCGUGGCGCG